rnacentral:lncRNA from 1 species
UGUACUCUCCGUUAUCGGGCAGUGUUUGCCUUGUCACUGCCGUGGAAUAUUUCGUGAGGGCUGGCGUUGUUGGUCAAUAUUUUUUGAGGCAGUGUGGCUUUUCUGGAGUGUUGUUCAACACUCCAGAAAAGCCCAAAGGAGGACUUCGUGAGGGCAGAAAGGACUGGGAGGUCCCCACCACAAUGGUAGCAGAUUUCACUUGGUCAUGCAGAGCUUGCUCUGGCAUUUUUAGGCUGUGGGGUUCUUGCAGGGGGUUGGCGGUGUUGGGCAGCUGCUCUUCGGGGGUGCAUCACCCCCUGGGGGCUGGAGUAGCUAUCUGGGUCACUGAGAACCGAAGAGGCUCUUCCCUAGCGCAGCCCAACUCAGAAGGACAGCCUGAGAAUGUAGGCGGAUCUUUUCACAGUCUGGCCGAGCUUGUUGCAGCUUUCCUGGGCUGCAGGGGCUCUUCUAGGGGGCUGGUGGUGCUGAGCAGUUAUUUCACGUGAGUGGGCAUCCCCUGGGGGCUUGGGCGGGUAGCAGGGCCGUUGGAAACCCAAGAGGCUCCUCCCCGGGGCAACCCGACUCAGAAAAACCGUCCGAGAAUUAGGCCGAUCUAUUCACAGCCUGGCUAAGCUUGUUCUAGCUUUUCUGGGCUGCAGGCCUUUUCUCGGGGGCUGGUGGUGUUUGGUGCUGCUCUGCGGAAGUGUAGCCCCUCCAAAGGGCAAGCAGGCCUGUGCAGGGACAGCCCCUGCGGUGGUAGGCUUCAGGCAAUUGUUGAGGCCAGCCCUCCUGGAUGGCAGGCAGCCCCAGGUCCGUGAGAGCGUAGGGCGUGGCGGGGGUGGGGGGAGGGGAUGCACUGGGAAGCACAGUUUUCAGCUAGCUAGCGGGCCUGUAAGCUUGCUGUGGCGUGGGGGGUAUUCUAUGGGGACCCACCCCUUCUUCUCUCCCCUCCCCAGCACGGGCGCAGACCAGGCUCUUCUCCCAGGUUCCCUCUGAUGUGGCUUUCCCCUUCCCCACUCCUGGAGUAUUGCUCCCUUCCUCUGCGACAGCUUUGUUUUCUAGUCUCCCAGGCAGUCUCUGCCCCGUCAACUGGUUUCUAGACCUCCCAAGCAGUUUCCGCUCUGCCCCGCCCCCCUAGCCCGGGGACUAAUCUCUGGAGCCGAGGUCUCGGUGCCCAGCCCCCACCCAGGCGGCGCCCCCCGGCCCUUUCUCGGGGACUAACCUUCUGCGGCGAGGUCUCGGUGCCCAGCCCCCCUCCCAGGCGUCCCCCGGCCCUUUCUCAGGAAUUAACCUUCGGAGGCGAGGUCUCGGUGCCCACCCCCACCCAGGCGUCCCCCGGCCCCUUCUCGGGGACUAACCUUCGGCGGCGAGGUCUCGGUGCCCAGCCCCCACCCAGGCGUCCCCCGGCCCUUUCCCGGGGACUAACCUCUGGAGCCGAGGAUUCGGUGCCCAGCCCCCACCCAGGCGUCUCAAUUUUUGGUGACUGUGCCCGUAGUUCAGAUGGUCCGUUGGGUUCUUGAUCGGUUUUCCCGUACUCCGACUUACUGCUACACUCUUCUCUGCAUCUGGGGAUUCCUCCGGUUCGUUUGAUCUUUCGCCCGGUAGGUGACUUUCCAGGGUGCGGGAUCCCUUUCUCCUCCGCAGUUCCCUUUCGG